UUCACUCCAAUUUAAAAAAACUAUACCCGGAUAUCCGCGCACCUGAUCACUAAAUAUAGCUUCAGAGUUUCUCUUGAAUAUUAGGGGCAACGUCCAUAUUCUUCAAAUUUGAACUUGGGUUGCUCACCAAUAUGAAAACAAUUGCACCUCACUGGUUUCUUUUUUGGAGAUUGCAGGAUACCAUGAAUUGGCAAGAGUUAUGGGUACUCUGUUAACAUUUUUUAUGGAGACAGAGGAAAUGCAAUAAAACUUUCCUGUCUUAUACCAUGAUAUUUUCCAGGGACCAUGUGAAUGAGAGACCAGGUUGGAUCUGCUUAGUAGUGAUCGCAAUGCUUCCUCCAUUCUUUUACUUAGCAAUCUGGGCUUCUGUUCAG